GAUGAACGCUGGCGGCGUGCCUAAUACAUGCAAGUCGAACGGAAAAUUCUUGGUACUUGUAUCGGGAGUUUUUAGUGGCGAACGGGUGAGUAACGCGUUGGUGACCUACCCCAAAGUGGGGGAUAACAGAUCGAAAGGUCUGCUAAUACCUCAUGUUGUCAUUGUCUUUAGAAAGCGAUGAUUAAAGGAGCAAUCCGCUUUGGGAGGGGCCUGCGUCCCAUCAGCUAGUUGGUAGGGUAAUGGCCUACCAAGGCGUCGACGGGUAAGGGACCUGAGAGGGUGGCCCCUCACAAUGGAACUGAAACACGGUCCAUACACCUACGGGUGGCAGCAGUAGGGAAUAUUGCACAAUGGACGAAAGUCUGAUGCAGCAACGCCGCGUGUACGAUGAAGGCCUUCGGGUCGUAAAGUACUUUUCAGGGAGAUGAGAAAGGACAGUAC
rnacentral:rRNA from 1 species